rnacentral:rRNA from 1 species
UAGGGAAUCUUCCACAAUGGACGCAAGUCUGAUGGAGCAACGCCGCGUGAGUGAAGAAGGGCUUCGGCUCGUAAAGCUCUGUUGUUAAAGAAGAACGUGGGUAAGAGUAACUGUUUACCCAGUGACGGUAUUUAACCAGAAAGCCACGGCUAACUACGUGCCAG